AACUCAGUGGUUGAGUGUUUGGCUGCUAACCAAAAGGUCAGUGGUUCAAGUCCACC
rnacentral:tRNA from 1 species